rnacentral:rRNA from 1 species
GGGCGCGUAGGCGGAUUAUCAAGUCUCUUGUGAAAUCCAACGGCUUAACCGUUGAACUGCUUGGGAAACUGGUAAUCUAGAGUGGGGGAGAGGCAGAUGGAAUUGGUGGUGUAGGGGUAAAAUCCGUAGAUAUCACCAAGAAUACCCAUUGCGAAGGCGAUCUGCUGGAACUUAACUGACGCUAAGGCGCGAAAGCGUGGGGAGCAAACAGGAUUAGAUACCCUGGUAGUCCACGCCCUAAACGAUGUAUGCUAGUUGUUGGGGUGCUAGUCAUCUCAGUAAUGCAGCUAACGCAUUAAGCAUACCGCCUGGGGAGUACGGUCGCAAGAUUAAAACUCAAAGGAAUAGACGGGGACCCGCACAAGCGGUGGAGCAUGUGGUUUAAUUCGAAGAUACGCGAAGAACCUUACCUGGGCUUGAUAUCCUAAGAACCUUAUAGAGAUAUGAGGGUGCUAGCUUGCUAGAACUUAGAGACAGGUGCUGCACGGCUGUCGUCAGCUCGUGUCGUGAGAUGUUGGGUUAAGUCCCGCAACGAGCGCAACCCACGUAUUUAGUUGCUAACACUUCGGGUGAGCACUCUAAAUAGACUGCCUUCGUAAGGAGGAGGAAGGUGUGGACGACGUCAAGUCAUCAUGGCCCUUAUGCCCAGGGCGACACACGUGCUACAAUGGCAUAUACAAUGAGACGCAAUACCGCGAGGUGGAGCAAAUCUAUAAAAUAUGUCCCAGUUCGGAUUGUUCUCUGCAACUCGAGAGCAUGAAGCCGGAAUCGCUAGUAAUCGUAGAUCAGCCAUGCUACGGUGAAUACGUUCCCGGGUCUUG